rnacentral:lncRNA from 1 species
GGCAGUGCAUAAAAGAGGCACUAACUCCCCACCAGCCCUAUCUGAAGAGAUGUUUCUGAAAAGAAAACAGGCAGGGCUCUCAAAACAAGCAUUUUCAAGCUGUGUAAUGUGAUUGCCACAAGUCAUUGUUGUGACUGAUUUCAAGCGGAGACACGACAGCGUCUGGCAACCAGGCUCAGCGGAGGAGAAGACGCUGUAGUGUUUCAGCACCUCAUUUUGUUUGUGGGCUGGGGAGGUGCAGAAGUGUCACUACUGGCUAAACGCUUUCUUCAUGAUCUCCAGUUCCCCAAGGGCUGUUAUCAGCUUCCACCCAAACAGUAUGUUCUCCAAGUGACUCGCGUUUCCUUACUGACAGGAGAUAUUGAUUGAUUUGCCUGUAUCUUAACAACCAGCACUUGCAAAGCAAAGUGCAGCUUUGUUAAACAAAGGAUGUCAACAGGAGCGGCAGGAGCACCACGGGCAGAGUUUCUGAGCACUUGAGGACUGAGCCCCAUGCACCAUGUGCAGAGCAUGCUUUGGCUAAGGUGCAAGAGGAUGCAUGGACACAACUCUCCCCCUCUCUGUGUA